rnacentral:rRNA from 1 species
AUUGAACGCUGGCGGCAUGCCUUACACAUGCAAGUCGAACGGCAGCACGGGUGCUUGCACCUGGUGGCGAGUGGCGAACGGGUGAGUAAUACAUCGGAACGUACCUUAUCGUGGGGGAUAACGCAGCGAAAGCUGUGCUAAUACCGCAUACGCCCUGAGGGGGAAAGCGGGGGAUCGAAAGACCUCGCGCGAUUAGAGCGGCCGAUGCCUGAUUAGCUUGUUGGUGGGGUAAAAGCCCACCAAGGCGACGAUCAGUAGCUGGUCUGAGAGGACGAUCAGCCACACUGGGACUGAGACACGGCCCAGACUCCUACGGGAGGCAGCAGUGGGGAAUUUUGGACAAUGGGGGAAACCCUGAUCCAGCAAUGCCGCGUGAGUGAAGAAGGCCUUCGGGUUGUAAAGCUCUUUUCUUGUCAGGGAAGAAACACCGGCUAACACAGUCCGGGAACGACGGACCUGAAGA